rnacentral:lncRNA from 1 species
AAUUGUUGUUCUCUACAAAAAAACUAUUCUUUAUUCCUUCAAAAAAUGUGGAGUUGAAGUUGUUCAAAAUAUAGAUAAUGACAACAAAAGCUUGGAGAGACAAAAAGGACAAUAAAGUCAAACGUAUAGAGUUCAGAGGAGAGGCACCCUGGCCAAUACAAAUAUUUCACAUUUUUUGCUUAGCUGUGCGGUCACAUUUUACAAAUAAAUGGGAAUAUUAA